rnacentral:lncRNA from 1 species
AUUAAUUUAUUUAUUUAAAUUCAAGUUAGUGGGUGCCUGGGUGGCUCAGGACUUCGGCUCAGGUCAUGAUCUCACAGUUCGUGGGUUUGAAUCCCCCAUCGGGUGAGCUUGAGCCUUGCUUUGGGUGAUCUUGAGCCCCGCAUUGGGUGAGCCCCUCUUUUCUCUCUCUCUCUCCCUCCCUCUGCUCCUCCUGGGAUUCUCUCUCACUCUGCCCCUCACUCAUUGUACCCUUCUCUCUCUCUCUCUCUCUCUCUCUCUCUCUCUCUCUCUCUCUCUCUCUCUCUCAAAAAAAAAAAUAAUAAAUUCAAGGUAGUUAACAUACAUAAGCAUCCGACUUUUGAUUUUGGCUCAGGCCGUGGUCUCAUGUUUCAUGAGUCUGAGCCCCACAUUGGGCUCCACGCUGAUAGUGUGGAGCCUGCUUGGGAUUCUGUCUGCCCCUCCCCCACAAAAAAUUAAAAAAUUAAAAAAAGAAAACCUAAAUCCGACACUAAUCCCUUAUUGAUUCCUUCAGUAAACAUUUAUUUGGUGUCUAGUUUGUGCCAGAUACUGGAGAUACGCAUGGCACAGGGCAAGAGCAUGAUGAGCAGUAUUAAAAUGAAUGAAUACAAUGGCUCUUUGAGCAACAAAGCAGAGCUUUGCCCUAUGGACAAGCCAGAAGGUGCUCCAGGCAGAGGUACCAGAGAAUGUCAGUUACACUCCAGACCUGCUCAGCUCCCCCAGACUGCUGUAUGUGCCUGAGAGCUUCAUGUCCCCAAAUGGUAAAUUGAGGCCCACGGAGAAGUGAGGACUGAACUACCACUUGCGAGCUGGGAGCUACUGGGAAAAAUCAUGGAACCGCCGUGUGCCUCAGUUCCCUCAUUUCCCACUAUCAAAUGGACAUGGUAAGAGUGUAUGCCCCAUAGGCUGUUAUGAGGAUUUAGAUGAGUCGAUAUUUACAAAGAGGGCAGAACAGUGUGGCAUACAUGUUCAGUGCUACAUAAACGUGGAUGAAAAUAGAAUGUUGUGUGGGGAAAAAGCAAGACUCUGAAGAUGACUGACUUUUAAAAGUUCAAAAGCAAUGAAAACUAAACAAGAUGUUGACUAGGCAUUCAUAUAUGCUAUAAAGGGAUGAUAAGCAGAAAAUCAUUUGGGAACUGUGGGGAGGCAAGAGUAAGGGAUGGGGAAGUGAGCUGGGUGCAUACGCAUUGUUGGGGUCUCAGGAGAGGGGUGGGAUCCCAGGCACUCCCAGUGUCAUUAGAAGAAAGGUUU